rnacentral:rRNA from 1 species
UACGUAGGGACCGAGCGUUGUCCGGAUUCAUUGGGCGUAAAGAGCUCGUAGGCGGCGGUUCAAGUCGAACGUGAAAACUCGGGGCUCAACUCCGAGCCUGCACUCGAUACUGGAUGACUUGAGGACCGGAGAGGAUAGUGGAAUUCCCAGUGUAGUGGUGAUAUGCGUAGAUAUCGGGAGGAACACCUGUGGCGGAAGGCGGCUUUCUGGGCCCUACCUGACGCUGA